UCCAUGGGCACCCUGUGAAGGCGAGAGCGUGACAUGGUCCUGCUUUUCCUGGCAGCCUUGAUGGCACUGUCAGACUUUGGUCAUGCACAGGACUCUGUGCUGCAGUUUGCACAAGAAACUGCCAUCCAGGUGGGACACAACGCUACUCUGCACUGCAAUUUCUCCACCAGCAGCUCUCUUCCCUACAUCUUCUGGUAUCAGCAGCGCCUGACCCAGUCCCCUCAGUUCUUGCUGCAGGUGAGCAAAUUCAAGCCUCAUGUGCAUUCUGGGAGGAUCUCCUCUGUGCUCUCCAUGGAGAACUCCCAGGUGCUUCUCCACGUGCAAGAUGCCAAGCUCCAGGACAGCGCUGUCUACCUGUGUGCACUGAGCCCACACUGGUGCCUGCAGCAUGCAGCUUUAUACAGGAAGGUGCAGGUGCUGUGAGGAGCAGCUCCCUCUCAUCACAGUUUGCAUGGAGCUCUGAGCUGAGCCUGCCCAGCAAGGACACGUGGGGCUUGUGGUGAGCCAGGUGUGAGUGGCAGCCCCUGCUCCUGAUGCCUGGCAGUGUGGUUAG